CUCCGUACGGGAGGCAGCAGGUGGGGAAUUAGUUGGACAAUGGGCGACAACGCCUGAUCCAGCCAUGCCGCGGUGGGUGAGUAGGAACGGUCCGUUAGGGUUAGUAAACGUCCCGUUUCGGCGGGGAAGAUAAUGACGGUACCCGCAGAAGAAGCCCCGGCUAACUUCGUGCCAGCCGCCGCGGUAAUUC
rnacentral:rRNA from 1 species